rnacentral:rRNA from 1 species
AUUGAACGCUGGCGGAAUGCUUUACACAUGCAAGUCGAACGGCAGCACGGGGGCAACCCUGGUGGCGAGUGGCGAACGGGUGAGUAAUACAUCGGAACGUGCCCGGUCGUGGGGGAUAACGUAGCGAAAGUUACGCUAAUACCGCAUACGAUCUGAGGAUGAAAGCGGGGGACCUUCGGGCCUCGCGCGAUCGGAGCGGCCGAUGUCAGAUUAGGUAGUUGGUGGGGUAAAGGCCUACCAAGCCGACGAUCUGUAGCUGGUCUGAGAGGACGACCAGCCACACUGGGACUGAGACACGGCCCAGACUCCUACGGGAGGCAGCAGUGGGGAAUUUUGGACAAUGGGCGCAAGCCUGAUCCAGCCAUUCCGCGUGCAGGACGAAGGCCUUCGGGUUGUAAACUGCUUUUGUAUGGAACGAAAAGGCUCUGGCUAAUACCUGGGGCCCAUGACGGUACCGUAAGAAUAAGCACCGGCUAACUACGUG